rnacentral:rRNA from 1 species
UCCGGGGGGGGCAAGCGUUGUUCGGAAUUACUGGGCGUAAAGGGCUCGUAGGCGGCCAACUAAGUCAGACGUGAAAUCCCUCGGCUUAACCGGGGAACUGCGUCUGAUACUGGAUGGCUUGAGUUUGGGAGAGGGAUGCGGAAUUCCAGGUGUAGCGGUGAAAUGCGUAGAUAUCUGGAGGAACACCGGUGGCGAAGGCGGCAUCCUGGACCAACACUGACGCUGAGGAGCGAAAGCCAGGGGAGCAAACGGG